rnacentral:rRNA from 1 species
AGUGAACGCUGGCGGUAGGCCUAACACAUGCAAGUCGAACGGCAGCACAGUAAGAGCCUGCUCUUACGGGUGGCGAGUGGCGGACGGGUGAGGAAUACAUCGGAAUCUACUUUUUCGUGGGGGAUAACGUAGGGAAACUUACGCUAAUACCGCAUACGACCUACGGGUGAAAGCAGGGGAUCUUCGGACCUUGCGCGAUUGAAUGAGCCGAUGUCGGAUUAGCUAGUUGGCGGGGUAAAGGCCCACCAAGGCGACGAUCCGUAGCUGGUCUGAGAGGAUGAUCAGCCACACUGGAACUGAGACACGGUCCAGACUCCUACGGGAGGCAGCAGUGGGGAAUAUUGGACAAUGGGCGCAAGCCUGAUCCAGCCAUACCGCGUGGGUGAAGAAGGCCUUCGGGUUGUAAAGCCCUUUUGUUGGGAAAGAAAAGCAGCAGGUUAAUACCCCGCUGUUCUGACGGUACCCAAAGAAUAAGCACCGGCUAACUGCGU